rnacentral:rRNA from 1 species
AUUGAACGCUGGCGGCAGGCCUAACACAUGCAAGUCGAGCGGAUGACGGGAGCUUGCUCCUUGAUUCAGCGGCGGACGGGUGAGUAAUGCCUAGGAAUCUGCCUGGUAGUGGGGGACAACGUUUCGAAAGGAACGCUAAUACCGCAUACGUCCUACGGGAGAAAGCAGGGGACCUUCGGGCCUUGCGCUAUCAGAUGAGCCUAGGUCGGAUUAGCUAGUUGGUGGGGUAAUGGCUCACCAAGGCGGCGAUCCGUAACUGGUCUGAGAGGAUGAUCAGUCACACUGGAACGGAGACACGGUCCAGACUCCUACGGGAGGCAGCAGUGGGGAAUAUUGGACAAUGGGCGAAAGCCUGAUCCAGCCAUGCCGCGUGUGUGAAGAAGGUCUUCGGAUUGUAAAGCACUUUAGGUUGGGAGGAAGGGCAGUAAGUUAAUACCUUGCUGUUUUGACGUUACCGGCAGAAUAAGCACCGGCUAACUCUGUGCCAGCAGCCGCAGUAAGAC